UACGAAGGGGGCUAGCGUUGUUCGGAUUUACUGGGCGUAAAGCGCGUGUAGGCGGAUCGUUAAGUCGGGGGUGAAAGCCCAGAGCUCAACUCUGGAAUUGCCUUCGAUACUGGCGGUCUGGAGCAGAGAAGAGGCGAGUGGAAUUCCGAGUGUAGAGGUGAAAUUCGUAGAUAGUCGGAGGAACACCAGUGGCGAAGGCGGCUCGCCGGGCUCUUGCUGACGCUGAGACGCGAAAGCGUGGGGAGCAAACAGG
rnacentral:rRNA from 1 species